rnacentral:rRNA from 1 species
AGUCGUGCGAGAAGUAUCUUCGGAUAUGAGUAGAGCGGCGGACGGGUGAGUAACGCGUAGGAAUCUACCUAGUAGAAGGGGAUAGCCCGGGGAAACUCGGAUUAAUACCGUAUACCUCCUUUGGGAGAAAGAAGGCCUCUCUUUGAAGCUUUCGCUACUAGAUGAGCCUGCGUAAGAUUAGCUUGUUGGUGAGGUAAAGGCUCACCAAGGCGACGAUCUUUAGCGGGUCUGAGAGGACGAUCCGCCACAUUGGGACUGAGACACGGCCCAGACUCCUACGGGAGGCAGCAGUGGGGAAUAUUGGACAAUGGGCGCAAGCCUGAUCCAGCCAUACCGCGUGUGUGAAGAAGGCCCUAGGGUUGUAAAGCACUUUAAGUUGGGAAGAAAAGUUAUUGGUUAAUACCCAAUGACCGUGACAUUACCUUCAGAAUAAGGACCGGCUAAUUCCGUGCCAGCAGCCGCGGUAAUACGGAAGGUCCAAGCGUUAAUCGGAAUUACUGGGCGUAAAGCGCGCGUAGGUGGUUUAUUAAGUUGGAUGUGAAAUCCCCGGGCUCAACCUGGGAACUGCAUCCAAAACUGAUUCACUAGAGUACGAUAGAGGGAGGUAGAAUUCACAGUGUAGCGGUGGAAUGCGUAGAUAUUGUGAAGAAUACCAAUGGCGAAGGCAGCCUCCUGGAUCUGUACUGACACUAAGGUGCGAAAGCGUGGGUAGCGAACAGGAUUAGAUACCCUGGUAGUCCACGCCGUAAACGAUGUCAACUAGCUGUUGGGAAACUAUGUUUUUCAGUGGCGCAGCUAACGUAGUAAGUUGACCGCCUGGGGAG